rnacentral:tRNA from 1 species
GGUUGUGGCCCAGAGGUAGAGCACUUGUCUAGCACACUCGAGGCAUUGGGUUCAAUCCUCAGCACCA